CGUCACGUGACGUUUGUGUCUCCCUCUUCUUCUUCUUCCCUACCUCGGAUACUUCCACAUGCCGACCCGCCACAGCGGUACCUACCGCGCCCAGGAGCAGAGGGACCUCCUCCGGCCGCGGCUCAUGCUCGAGCACGGGUACUCGGCGUUGCCGCCGCUGGUGGCCGCCGGCCUCGUGGAGCGGUCUUUGGGGAAGCCACUCUAGGGCCACGAGCUUCUGCCGCCAGACUGCGAAAUGGUUAGGGCGCGGUAACGUUCCGUAUAAGAGGCGUUUGUGUUCGGGCCCGAAGAUCCUCGUCCGUCGGAGCUCCUCAGCCGCUACCACCUACAUACCCAGCUGCACCUACGGGUGGUCGACCUCGGGCAUGAGUUCGGGUAGCACACCUUGACGUAGUAGUUGGGCAAGCAGCCCUCCCUGCAGCUGGUCCCGGAGCAGCUACUCUCGCAGCUCUUCGAGUUCUUCGACGACCUCCACAUGCUCCGUUCUGACAGUUCGUUGUUCAUGAACCGGCCCCUAAAGCAGUCGAAGCGGCUGGAGUGGGUAAAGAGGAAGUACGCGAUGAAGUACCGCUGCCUCGUACGCCAACACGAGCUACGCAUAGGCGUACACUUCCGUACCACCUUCCGCGACGACCGUUCCGGUAGCCAGUUCUUCCACUAUCGACCGUACGGAGGCCUAAAACCUAAGCCCUCGCCCUCUUAUGGUACUAUUUCGUACGAACAAACAGAUACUACGAGACUAAUAGAAAUGACUUGGUUG
rnacentral:rRNA from 1 species